rnacentral:pre_miRNA from 1 species
AUUGGGAUAGCUGGGUCAAAUGGUUUCCAGUUUUCCAAGGAAUCUCCAUACUGCUUUCCAUAUUGGCUGCAUCAAUUUGCAGUCCCACCAGCAGU